CCUACGGGCGGCAGCAGUGAGGAAUAUUGGUCAAUGGACGAGAGUCUGAACCAGCCAAGUAGCGUGAAGGAUGACUGCCCUAUGGGUUGUAAACUUCUUUUAUAUGGGAAUAAAACGUUCCACGUGUGGGAUUUUGUAUGUACCAUAUGAAUAAGGAUCGGCUAACUCCGUGCCAGCAGCCGCGGUAAUACGGAGGAUCCGAGCGUUAUCCGGAUUUAUUGGGUUUAAAGGGAGCGUAGGUGGAUUGUUAAGUCAGUUGUGAAAGUUUGCGGCUCAACCGUAAAAUUGCAGUUGAAAAUGGCAGUCUUGAGUACAGUAGAGGUGGGCGGAAUUCGUGGUGUAGCGGUGAAAUGCUUAGAUAUCACGAAGAACUCCGAUUGCGAAGGCAGUUCACUGGACUGCAACUGACACUGAGGCUCGAAAGUGUGGGUAUCAAACAGGAUUAGAUACCCCAGUAGUC
rnacentral:rRNA from 1 species